UAAAAUCUUCAGGGCAAGGUGAAAUUCCUGACCGGCGGUAAAGCCCGCGAGCCGAGAGGCAUGAUCCGGUGUGAUUCCGGAGCCGACAGUAAAGUCUGGAUGAAAGAAGAUGUAA
rfam:Caloramator quimbayensis strain TSBA 833 genome assembly, contig: Ga0105845_101